rnacentral:rRNA from 1 species
CCUUGUACACACCGCCCGUCAAACCACGAAAGUUGUAUAAGCCAGAAGCAGGUGAGUUAACCGCAAGGGGACAGCCUUCCAAGGCUUGUGCGAUGAUUGGGGUU